CUUCUAAGUCCUAUGUCUGGGGCCCUCGACACAAGAAAGAUGUGGAGUGUUUGGAGAGGGUCCAGAGGAGGGCCACAAAGAUGAUCCACGGGUUGGAGCACCUAUCCUAUGAAGGCAGACUGAAGGAACUGGGCUUGUUCAGCCUGGAACAGAGAAGGCUGCAGGGAGACCUCAUUGCAGCCUUCCACAGGGUGGAGAAGCAGCUGAAGGGCUGACGCUGGUCCUCCUGUGCCUGCUUAAGAUGGAAGGUGGCUCAUGGGAAUGGUAAUGCAACAACAACAAAACACAAAUACUUUUGUUAAGGUGACUGAUCUUCAUGGUUGAGAAAUAAAUGCUUGGGAAGCCAGCAUUCCCCCUUUGGGAGAGCCAUUAUUUACUGUCAUUUUGAUGACCUUCAUGUGAUGAUUAGAUCAGGAUUGGCAAGCUAUCACAGUAAAUUCAAGUGGAAGAUGGGAUCUGAAGUACUGUGCAAACUUGUGUUGCUACAGAAUCAGAAUCAUUAGAAAGCUAUUUGUUUGUUUGUUGGCUAGUUUGUUUAAUAUUUGGCUUACUAUAACUUAUCUGAUGUAAAUACAGAGGUG
rnacentral:lncRNA from 1 species